rnacentral:lncRNA from 13 species
GGCCAGCUUGCCUGAGGUCAGUAGCGGCUGCAGCCCUAUUAGUCAAGGAGGCAGACAAACUAACCUUGGGCAGGAGUCAAACUCAGUGGCACUCCACAAGGUGGAGUCACUACUCCGUGGAGCUCUGGGAAAAUCUACGUCAAAUGCCCGCAUAGUUCAAUAUCAGGUCUUACUUUUGCACUAGACCCGCAUGAAGAUUUUAAAGGCUACAGUUUUAAACCCAGCCAUGCUGCUACCUGAUAGCCAGCCAGAGAAUCCCAUACAUGAUUGCCAGCAAAUAAUGGACGUCAUCCACACCGCUUGACUGGACUUCACUGAUAUUCCCCUACAGAAUCCGGAGGAGGUACUGUAUACUGAUGGCAGCAGCUUCAUGGUCGAUGGAGUCAGAUUGGCUACUGUUUUACAACCCUGAGUCACUGAGCCCCCACCUCGAAGGGCCAAAGGCGGGAAAAGUUUCUGCUUCCCAAACAAAGUUCCGAGGAGCCAGAGACUGGAAACCUGAGACAAAGUCCAGAGACGAGAAACCUGAGACAAAGUCCAUAAGAGCCAGAGGCAGGAAAAGCGGAGACAAAGCCUCUAGCUGGCCAGAGGCGGGAGAAUUCCUACGUUUGAAACAAAGCCCCCGCCCACCCGGGGAAGUCCCUCUAACACAGUCGCUCACAAAGGUGUGUAUAUAUACAUCUAUUCUUGGGCAAAACGACAUAUGCAGUAGAAUCAAAAAAUAUAAUUUUCGUUUGUGGUCAAAUUGACGUUUAGACAUUUGUCCAGAGAGUAUGUUAGUAAAUUUAAUUUUCAUCCAAGCAGUCACUAAAAGCAAACAGAUUGAAACAUAUUUUCAUGAAAGUGACCAUUCAUAGAUUGAGUUAGAAAAUUCAUUACAGGUGCUGUUAUUUUUUUGGUGUGAGUUAAAUUAGCUUAAUGCAGGUUAGAGAACUUCUGAAACUGUACAAAAGUUAUAUCAUAUAGACCCUCCAGGUAAAUUAUUUAAUGGACUACUUGGAAAAAUGACACAAUUUGUGCCUAAGUACAUAAGUCUAACUGAGUGGGUCAGAAUUCGAAUGCGAUGUAUUUUAAAGCAUAUGUUCAGGUAAUUGAACUGUGACUUGAUUUUUUUUUAGUAGUCUUGUAUGAAAGAAUGAAAUAGCCACAGGCCUUAUAUGUUCAAAACUUAAUGCCUCUUGAGGAAAUACGACUAUAAACAGAAGAGUUCAUCGGCGACCUUUAUCUCCUCACUUUAUCUACUCACCUGUCUGCAGGAAUGCCAGGAUGCUCUUUCCACCUCGGCAGUAACUUCCGAGGCUCCUGCCUGAUACCACUCCCACCUUCUUCCUACACACUAGGUCCCAUUCUUUCCUUCAAGCCCCAGAAGUUACUCUUGAGAUCAUUCCUUCUCUCUUCUCUGCCAUGUUAUUAUCCUUUUGACUGAAGCAUUCAAUAUGCUUGCCUGUGACUUUCAUUUCUUCUAUAUGACAAACAACAAAUACAUCAAAGAAGAACAAUAACGACAAACACCUCUGUAACAACACUUUUUUUCCAGCUUUUGCACAAUCUCCACUAUGUCUUUACUCCUCUUUAGAGCAAAACCUCUUGAGAACAUUAUUUUUACUUGCUGCUUUUUCUCUUAAUCUUUUAAACUCACUCUCAUCUGAUUUUCACUCUGUGGUAUACUGGUAAAUAUUUUAACAACCAGCUUUCUGCAGAACAAAGCUCUGAUUUGAAGUGUUUUCUGGGAUUAAUAGUAUAAAUACC